rnacentral:piRNA from 1 species
GGAGUGAACAGUUCUGUCUUGCUGGU